CCCGCUUUUUCCUCGCUAAAUUUAGAGUAAUUUUGAACUUAGAAGUCAUGAUGAUUCACGCCGGAUAUAAAGAAAAUGAAUUUAUUUUAAUUCCAACAAAAAUGAUUUACAAAAACAUUUGUAAAUUUAGUUAUUAAAUUUAUAUGCAUUGCAUAUUUAUUUAUAUUAAGCAUUUAGCAUCUACACGAGCUAUUUAUUUAAGCAAACACUGAACGAUUAUUACAGUUUUCAUAGUACAACCCGGAAGACUUUUUAUUUUAUUCAAUCACCUAAUUUCUCCACCCACUCUUCCACAUCCACCUACUCUUCCACCACUACACCCUUUUUCCUCCACCACUACUCCCACUACUCCCACUACAUCCACCUACACCCACUCUUUCCACCCACUUUACACUUCACUCUCGGCUCUCACUAAAUCUCUCUCUAUACUCUCUUUUCCUCCAUUGAUGUCCAUUGAAGAAAGCUUAGAGAAGCUUCAUCAAACACUACUAUGAGAUAAUCCACCAUCCAAUCCAAUCAAAUACUAUCAUAUCUCAUCAAAUUCAAGAAGCUAGAGCUAAGAUCAAAGUUGGAGCAAAGUCUUGAUCACCUUUUAAAUCCUUGAGCUUUGUGAUGACCAGGAGGAUUAGCGCUACUUUUCCAAGACAGGUUUAUAUGUGUAUGAUCUUCAGGCUUUGCCUAUCCAGGUUGGCUGGCUGGUGCUGACGGGACGGAGCUGAGGCUAGAGAUAAAUUCAUAUGUUAGACUUCCGCUGUAGCAAUUACUUAUAUCAGUCUUUUGUUUUCCCAACUUAAGAUCUUCAUGUUAAAUUUCAAACGAUAUACUUGAUCGAGCUUAGACUUUUCACUACUAAAUUUAGGCCAAUGAAUGUCGGUUGUCAGAAGCAUGAAACAAAACUUGUGAUCCAAAGGGGCAUAGCCCGACUUUCUAUCCUAUUUCGGGUUUUAACAAGGUAUUUUCCUUGUUUAUUUCUAUGAAUUAUUCACACCUCGAUUAUAUUUAUUCAUUCAAGAAUUGGGCUGUGACAGAAUGGUAUCAGAGCAUGAGUUUCCUUUCAUGUCUCUGAUAACCAUAAGUUUUUGAUGUCGAGUCUAGAAUAGUAUCUCUAGACUUCUAAGAAUGUCAGUAGCCCUCAGCUCGCCGUCACACUGCCGCAACAAAGGUACGAUAAUAGUUUCAAAAAUAUACAUAUAUGUAUUUCAGAUGUUAUGAAAGUUUUCAAGAAAAUGUGCGCCUUAUGUUUAUGAUGUUAUGUGAACUGCAAAUUAUUCUUCAUGUUGUUAUUUUGGGUCUUCGACUCAUAUAACUAAGCUCAAUGUCGUGUUUGGGACAACCCGAGCCCUUAACGAAUCAAUGUAUGUAUGUAUGUAUGGUCGAGUUAGAUUCCUUGAAUCUUUCCGGCAUAAGCAAAGUUUUUCAUGAAAGGGACAUUUAAUGUCCAUAUGACUCAAAAUUUCAAAGAAAGCAAAUAUAUGUAUGUAUGUAUGUAUGCAUGUAUGAAUGAUGAGAAAGUUUUAUGUUAUCAUUUUAGGUUCACUGCCUAUAUGAUUAGAAUGAUGAGUUCUUUUACAAACCGUUUGAGAACCACCCAAUAAUGCCUUAUGAAUGUUAGUCGUGACAGCACCACUAGAACGGCAUAGAAUGGACUUAUAUGGUACCAAUGAUUAUGAUUGAAGUACUUAGAAGUAAGUGCUUUAAGUUAAAAGUUGACUUAGAGCUUUAUAAAGAGAUAAGAAGUUGACAUGAAUGGGGGCGAAGCUCCCAUUUGACUGAGUAACUCGCCGUGCUGGGUCUGGCCAGCCCACAUGACUAUGAUCUCGGUGAUUGUCAAUUUAGUCAUCCCAAUGUAUAGACUCUCACUAUGUAGUUGUCACAAUAAGAUUUUGCUUCCAUCACGAUAAGCAUAAUAUGAUUAGAAUGAGUUCGUUUGUCACCAGUUCUCGAGAUUAUAGACAUGGUGUUCUCACAAUUAGAAAGAUGCGAUAACAAUCAAGCUAUGUAGCCGCACUGAUAGUGAAGUCUAGUAUCCCAAACUAGAUUACCCAGAUAUACAAUUUCGAGGACGAAAUUUUUAUAAGGAGGGAGGGAUGUAACACCCCGCUUUUUCCUCGCUAAAUUUAGAGUAAUUUUGAACUUAGAAGUCAUGAUGAUUCACGCCGGAUAUAAAGAAAAUGAAUUUAUUUUAAUUCCAACAAAAAUGAUUUACAAAAACAUUUGUAAAUUUAGUUAUUAAAUUUAUAUGCAUUGCAUAUUUAUUUAUAUUAAGCAUUUAGCAUCUACACGAGCUAUUUAUUUAAGCAAACACUGAACGAUUAUUACAGUUUUCAUAGUACAACCCGGAAGACUUUUUAUUUUAUUCAAUCACCUAAUUUCUCCACCCACUCUUCCACAUCCACCUACUCUUCCACCACUACACCCUUUUUCCUCCACCACUACUCCCACUACUCCCACUACAUCCACCUACACCCACUCUUUCCACCCACUUUACACUUCACUCUCGGCUCUCACUAAAUCUCUCUCUAUACUCUCUUUUCCUCCAUUGAUGUCCAUUGAAGAAAGCUUAGAGAAGCUUCAUCAAACACUACUAUGAGAUAAUCCACCAUCCAAUCCAAUCAAAUACUAUCAUAUCUCAUCAAAUUCAAGAAGCUAGAGCUAAGAUCAAAGUUGGAGCAAAGUCUUGAUCACCUUUUAAAUCCUUGAGCUUUGUGAUGACCAGGAGGAUUAGCGCUACUUUUCCAAGACAGGUUUAUAUGUGUAUGAUCUUCAGGCUUUGCCUAUCCAGGUUGGCUGGCUGGUGCUGACGGGACGGAGCUGAGGCUAGAGAUAAAUUCAUAUGUUAGACUUCCGCUGUAGCAAUUACUUAUAUCAGUCUUUUGUUUUCCCAACUUAAGAUCUUCAUGUUAAAUUUCAAACGAUAUACUUGAUCGAGCUUAGACUUUUCACUACUAAAUUUAGGCCAAUGAAUGUCGGUUGUCAGAAGCAUGAAACAAAACUUGUGAUCCAAAGGGGCAUAGCCCGACUUUCUAUCCUAUUUCGGGUUUUAACAAG